UGCCAGCAGCCGCGGUAAUACGGAGGGGGCGAGCGUUAUUCGGAAUUACUGGGCGUAAAGGGUGCGUAGGCGGCCCAUCAAGUUAGACGUGAAAGCCCCGGGCUCAACCUGGGAAUUGCGUUUAAUACUGGUGAGCUAGAGUACGAGAGAGGAAAGUGGAAUUCCUAGUGUAGAGGUGAAAUUCGUAGAUAUUAGGAAGAACACCAGUGGCGAAGGCGACUUUCUGGCUCGUAACUGACGCUGAGGCACGAAGGCGUGGGUAGCGAACGGGAUUAGAUA
rnacentral:rRNA from 1 species